rnacentral:rRNA from 1 species
UACGUAGGGUGCAAGCGUUGUCCGGAAUCAUUGGGCGUAAAGAGCGUGUAGGCGGCUCGAUCAGUCUGCUGUGAAAGCCCAGGGCUCAACCCUGGGAUGCCGGUAGAUACUGUCGAGCUAGAGUCCGGAAGAGGCGAGUGGAAUUCCUGGUGUAGCGGUGAAAUGCGCAGAUAUCAGGAGGAACACCAAUGGCGAAGGCAGCUCGCUGGGACGGUACUGACGCUCAUGCACGAAAGCGUGGGGAGCAAACAGG